rnacentral:lncRNA from 1 species
AGUAGGAGAAGGCAUGGCAGGACACAACAGUUUGCUGCAUCAUUGCAGCCAAGAGAAAGGUCACACAAGAUGGUGAGGAUGAACAUGAUGGCAGAAACAAUAGAAGAGCAAACCUCUCCCUUCAGCAAGAAGCAAAGAGAAAGGAUGUGGACCAGAGGACUAAGAGAUGCAAAGGCAAGUGGGAGCAGGGAGGGAAGUUCUAAGUUUUGUGAAUAACACGGAGCAAUGAAACAGCAAGGA